UCGGAUGUGGUGCACGGUGCACAUCGGCUUCUUGUAGAUCGCGUCAUAUGUGUAAGCUGAAGAGCGGGGUUCGACUCCCUGCAUCCGAA